UACGUAGGGAGCAAGCGUUGUCCGGAAUCAUUGGGCGUAAAGCGCGCGUAGGUGGCCACAUAAGUCCGUUGUGAAAGUCAAAGGCUACAACCUUUGAAAGCCGAUGGAUACUGUGUGGCUAGAGUACGGAAGAGGCGAGUGGAAUUCCUGGUGUAGCGGUGGAAUGCGCAGAUAUCAGGAGGAACACCGAUGGCGAAGGCAGGUCUCUGGGCCAUUACUGACACUGAGAAGCGAAAGCAUGGGGAGCGAACAGG
rnacentral:rRNA from 1 species